rnacentral:rRNA from 1 species
UACAGAGGUCCCAAGCGUUGUUCGGAUUCACUGGGCGUAAAGGGUGCGUAGGUGGCUUGGUAAGUUUGAUGUGAAAUCUCCGGGCUUAACCCGGAAAUGGCAUUGAAUACUAUUGAGCUGGAGGUUUGGAGGGGGGACUGGAAUUCUCGGUGUAGCAGUGAAAUGCGUAGAGAUCAUGAGGAAGACCAGUGGCGAAGGCGGGUCUCUGGACAGUUCCUGACACUGAGGCACGAAGGCCAGGGGAGCAAACGGG